AUCAAAUCUAGAUCAUCAGGCGCUCACAACAGGAGGCCACCCUGCGGGCUGCGAUCAAAUCUAGAUUAUCCGGUGCGCCCAAUAAAGAAGCCAACCUGUGGUUAACGGUAACGGUAACGGUAGGUGCACACGGGGGCGCCGAUCUCUCAUUUACCCGGCUAAUGGUAAUCGGGAUCCAUAUAACGGUAACGGUAAUCAUAAUCAGGAUCCAUAUAACGGUAACGGUCUCACAAA
rnacentral:lncRNA from 1 species